rnacentral:rRNA from 1 species
GACGAACGCUGGCGGCGUGCUUAACACAUGCAAGUCGAACGGAAAGGCCCUGCUUGCAGGGUACUCGCGUGGCGAACGGGUGUGUAACACGCGGGUGAUCUCCCCUCCACUUCUGGAUAAGCCUUGGAAACUGUGUCUAAUACCGGAGAGAGGACAUCCUUAUUGUGAUGGGUGGAAAGUUUUUUUGGUGUGGGAUGAGUUCGCGGCCUAUCAGCUUGUUGGUGGGGUGAUGGCCUACCAACGCGGCGACGGGUAGCCGGCCGGGGGGGGUGGACGGCCACAAUGGGGCUGGGAAACGGGCCAGGAGCCUAAGGGGGGGAGGAGGGGGGGAAAAUGGACAAAGGGCGGGAGCCUGAUGCAGCGAAGCCGCGGGGGGGGUGACGGGCUUCGGGUUGUAAACCCCUUUCGCUAGGGAAGAAGCUGUUUGUGACGGUAACGGGUUAAGAAGCACCGGCUAACUACGUG